UACGAAGGUGGCAAGCGUUGUUCGGAUUUACUGGGCGUACAGGGAGCGUAGGCGGUUGGAUAAGCCCUCCGUGAAAUCUCCAGGCUUAACCUGGAAAGUGCAGAGGGGACUGUUCAGCUAGAGGAUGGGAGAGGAGCGCGGAAUUCCCGGUGUAGCGGUGAAAUGCGUAGAGAUCGGGAGGAAGGCCGGUGGCGAAGGCGGCGCUCUGGAACAUUUCUGACGCUGAGGCUUGAAAGCGUGGGGAGCAAACAGG
rnacentral:rRNA from 1 species